UACAUGGGUGCAAACGUUGCUCGGAAUUAUUGGGCGUAAAGCGCACGUAGGCGGUUUGUUAAGUCGGAUGUGAAAUCCCUCGGCUCAACUGAGGAAGUGCAGUCCGAAACUGGCAGGCUUGAGUACUAAAGAGGGUCGCGGAAUUCCCGGUGUAGAGGUGAAAUUCGUAGAUAUCGGGAGGAACACCGGUGCGAAGGCGGCGACCUGGGUAGAUACUGACGCUGAGGUGGCGGAAAGCGGUGGGGAGCAAACAGGG
rnacentral:rRNA from 1 species